CACCACUUCUCCCAUAAUUCAAAACACCAAAAAUUCUUCUCCAUUCUCUAGUCUUCAGAAGCUCUGCUUCUCAACCAAGGAGGAGAAGAAGUCAUGCAAUACAUCAAGAUCCUACCCGCCAUCCACCCUUGUGUCGUCCCUAGAAGGUUGCUUGCUUUCAAGGAUCUUCAAGUUCUUCGUCUCAAGGCUUGUCAUUCAUCUUUCACGGUGUACCCUCAAUCCACGGCUUGAACGAUCCCUACUUAUUCUAUACUGACAACUACAUUUUGCAGGGUUAAAUUGCGCGCUUACUUUUAGCGUAUCACUUCCCCGCGCCGAGAAAGUUGUCGAUCACCUACAACUCACCUGCACUCAAAACCGGCAGGAUUCCCCAACCGAUCCCGAUGCGUACCGUAGUCCACCGGCUCCGUCUCGCACAGACCCAAUCAGUCUGUCCUCGUCGAUCGACUGUUCUUCCUCCACCACCGAAUACCAGCGUCAAACACCACCUCCUUCGAUCUGGAAUCAGACCGCCCAGCCAACACAACCACGCCCGAAGUUGUCCCGACCCGCGACAAGAAGCCCUGUCGCACUAGACCAGCUUGCAACCGGAGGAGCCUCGGCUGCCGCACUCUGCUAAACCCUAGGGUUUCUCUCUUAGAACGUGUCUAUAAAUGGUAUAUAUAUUGAGUAUGAAAUUGGUUUGGCACUUCGCACUUUGGUGGACUUGUAUUUUAAUUUGGUAUGAAAUUUCCUUUUUAUAGCUGGACAAACAAAAAAUUGAUGAAUCCCUUUUCAUGGCUGAAAAAAAAAAAUCGAUGAAAAUAAAAGAGAUGGAUAUAACUCAAGUUCCAAUGCAUAUAUA